rnacentral:rRNA from 1 species
AGUUUGAUCCUGGCUCAGGAUGAACGCUGGCAGAGCGCCUAACACAUGCAAGUCGAACGGGUUUAUUGAGUAGCUUGCUACUUAAUAAACUAGUGGCAAACGGGCGAGUAACGCGUACCUAAUCUGCCCCGAAGUUGAGUAUAACUAUGGAGACAUAGCUAAUGCUGAAUGUUCUCUUUUGUCUGAAAUGACUUAAGAGCAAAGGAGAAAUCCGCUUUGGGAGGGGGGUGCGUCCUAUCAGGUAGUUGGUGAGGUAAUUGCUCACCAAGCCUAUGACGGGUAGCCGGUCUGAGAGGAUGUCCGGCCGCAAUGGGACUGAGACACGGCCCAUACUCCUACGGGAGGCAGCAGUGGGGAAUCUUGCACAAUGGACGAAAGUCUGAUGCAGCGACUCUGCGUGAAGGAUGAAGCCUUACGGGGUGUAAACUUCUUUUCUGGUGGAAGACGAAUGACGGUACACCAGGAAUAAGGGACGGCUAACUACGUGCCAGCAGCCGCGGUAAUACGUAGGUCCCGAGCGUUAUCCGGAGUUACUGGGCGUAAAGUGUUCGUAGCCUGAUAUGUAAGUCCGUUUUCAAAUAUCUCGGCUCAACCGAGAAAAGGGAAUGGAUACUGUAUAUCUGGAGGUCUUUGGGGGUUAGUGGAAUUUCCAGUGGAGCGGUGAAAUGCGUUGAUAUUGGAAA